AAAAUCAAAAAAAGGUAAUUGCACAUUUUUAUCUCAAAAUUCUAAUUUAGAUUUUUUUUAUUUUAUUUUUUUCAGAAAUGAGGAAAGCAUUUGAAUCGUGAGAUAAUGUCUUGGUUUAAUAGGCAGGGAUUAACCUAAACCAGGUAUAGUUCAAUGAGUGCAUCUAAGUAUUUUUUUAUAAACAUUCCAAUCAUUAUUGGUGCGUCUUAAGAUAAAACAAUAGCACUGACAUGUUUCAAGAUCAGUGUUACUUUCUGCUGAAACAGCUCAGAUUUACAUUUUAGUCUGGGACUAGUUAAAGCCUCGUCUGUGAAACCAGGGGAUAAACUAAGAAGUGAGUCUUACAAUAAUUGUAAGAUAAAAAGAUUACCCUUUUUAAGAUUGCUUUUGUUUUAUUUUUUACUUUUUGGAAAAUGGCGAGAGGAAGAGAAAGCUAACAAACAAAUAAUAAUUUCACUCCGUGGUGAAUACGUUUUUCGGAUGCGCUAUACCUUUAAAUAGCAUCUUCAAACGUUCUCUUAACGCCUCACCAAUCAGAUCGGCCGACAAAAAAAGAACGCUAGUCAGGAAAUUCCAUCUUAUAAACAAAAAGCAUAAUCGCUCUCCCCCAGAUGUUCAUCGGCGUGUUCGCUGAGGGAGAUACGGGGGCCGAGGUCACGACCCCGUGAAAAUAUACGUCUAACGCCGGCCUGUCUGAGCCCGUCUUCCCUUCUAUCAUCGAGCCAUAAAUAUUACAAUGCCUAAACAUCACAAUCUCAAAACACAGCGCAGAAUUGAUAGAUGGAGGGUGAAUGAUAGAUGGAAGACAGCUUUGUUUUCCACCUCUCUACACUCUGGAUCAGGAGCACGGGGCGGCGGGCUAUUUUUCCUUUUGCCAGGGGAGUUUUUCGCUUUUUCUUUCUUUUUCUUUUUGCAAAAGCACGUCCACUAAGUGUGAUCCCACCCCCUCCCGCCCCUCACGCUCUCUUUUUCUGCCUCCUGCGCUCUACCUGCAUGUGAAAUGCGUCUGCAUACCCCUAACCUCGCUUUUUCCUCCUGUGUCAGAGCCACCCUUAAGUGCUGUUGCCGAUACCCAUGAGUAAGCCCCAUAAAAGCCGCACCAUCGCCGCGGCCGUUAUUGUUUCUUGCGGAUGAUUGAUUGAUGGAUGAGGGCUGACACUUCAAUGAAGCCAUUUCCACUGGCAUCUCUAUCCGAUGAUGUGCAGCGUAUAUUUUCUAUCCACGCCUCAUUGCUCGCCUGUGUCAUUCCUGGAAGUUCAUUUACACCAUGUUCCCUGAAGGACCUUUUUUUCUGCCCAUCUCCCUUUUUCUCUCUCCCUUUUUUCUACUGUUUUUCUCCUCCCGGUGUCAUAAAAUAAUGCUAUUUCUCGUAGGCUCUGUGGGAGCCGGGAUAAUUUGCGCGGAGUGACAAAACAAAAGGAAUAGAAAGGUUACUUACAGGGGGAACACGCCUGUAUUAAAUGUAUAUAUGAUUACAUUUAAAUCUGCUUAAAUGUAGUGUUUUCAUUCCUGCUGUGCAGGACCUUUUUGCUUUCAUUUGUAGCACUUAAGAAAUAUUAAAAAAGAGAGAACGCCUUUUUCCCCUUACAAUUAACUAAAAAGGAGGAUUCAUUUUAAAUCAUUUGAACGCUAUUAUUGUGGAUGCUGCUAUAUUUUUUUAAUUUAUUUUUACAAUUUGAAAACCGAGAGUUAAAAAAAUCAAGUGCGUUUCAUGUUUUUCCACACGUUUUCUGCUGUUUUUGCGUGCGUGCGAUGUCCCUUUAAAACACAAAUGCCUGUUCAUUAAUGACAUCAUCCUCCAGGAAGUGGAAUCAUUUUGGAGGGAAAACAACUGCAGAAGCAGUAAGUUCAAGCAAUGGAUUCGAAUCGUUCUGUGAUGCACUGUGGUUUUUUCCCCAUCUUUUUUGAUAAAAAAAAAGCCGUACUUGCAAUAAUGCAGUUAAUAAUACGUUUCAAAAUGUGUUUAUCCAUGCGAUCGAAUCUCGUUCCUUCAAUGGGAAAAUGUUAACUUGAGGUGUUUAUUUCUAUUCUGUCGGAUUCCAUCCGGUUUUGUUUUAUUGCAAAUGUGUAAAUAAAGCUCAAUCAGAAUACAUUUCACAAGUCUCACUUUAAAAGACAUGCUUAAAUUACAACACAAGCUUAUGAAUUUUUAUAAGGGUACUGCAUAACAGGAAUGUCCCAGCAACUCUGUUAGCGUUUAAGGCAAUUACCCACUUUGUUAGUCAACCAACUACUAAUGGUGUGGCUUCCUGUUUUUGUUUCUAGGAUAUCAUAGCAAUAACAACGAUUUCUCAGUUGGUGAGUUGAAGAAGAGAGAAAGAUGGCUUUUCGAAGACAAUUCCUCAUUUUUAUCUCAUAUGGAGAGCAGAUGGCAGGCCUGCAUCAGUGCAGGAGGCUUUCUGGGAUGACAGCCAUGAGAUUCCCCCUCAGGUGCCAUUGGAGCCCUCAUGUGCUGGGAGUGUGAUGGUUGGGACAUGGCACCUCCUCGUGAAAGAAUGGCUCUCUGUUCGCCUCCCUUUCUCACUUCGUAAUGGUGCUUGCUAACAACCUAAUAUUUCAAGUGUAUGUGUGCACACACAGAGGCUCAAACAGUAUGGACUCUCUUCUCUCCUUCUCUGACAGUCUACUUCUUUGUGUGAGGGUAUGAAAACACCCUUGGAUUUGAGUUGAAGAUCUAAUCUUCUUAUUAGGAGUAUUCUGGUUAAUUUAAUGCACAUUAAUUAGCUUAACGGACGGCUAAUUGUCUAUGGAUAGUAUUUGUGUCAGAAAAGUUCAACUACGGUAAUAGACGUAGUCAUAUCGGUGGUUUAAAAAACAGGUCUGUGGUAACUUAGAACAACAACAACAACAACAACAGCAAAUCUGCAUAUAACCAGUUAAGUAAUGUCUCUAAAUCUGAAAGCAAGAAAAAUGUGCCAAGCAAUGCAAACAUAUUUUGUUUUGUACAUUUACCCGUACAUCUGUGUGACGCAGGAUCUUGGACAAAUGAGGGUUCACUAUGGUCGGUGACAUCAUGGUAACAGAAGCCAAAUGCCUGAAAGUAUUUGUGUCACAGGCCAUUUCACUGUGACAGGGAGUAUCUGCAGCAAGUUUGAAAAUAUUCAAGACCUCAUCACAGUAUCAGAGAGAACAUGUGGAUACUUCACCGAAAGCCUCCUGCAUUUUUGAUGACUCGACCUUCUGUCCUCUUCUUGAGAUGAAGUGUCUCAUAAGUAGAGAAAUGGCGACCAACAACAGUUCGUCCCCAUUAAGACAGCACGUGUAAUAUUCAGCCUGCCGUAUAUUCAUCAGAUUGGACAGACCGCAUCAACUCGGCUCAUUUCUGCAUUUUUAAUUGUUGUUUUUUUACCCAGCGCUCAUCCUUGGGGAGGCAGUCCAGUCUCUCCGAAAGGCUAUAAAUCCACACGUCUGCUCGGGAAGGCAAUCCAAAACGAUCUCUGCCGGCUUCCUGUGGGGCGUUAUGGGUGUUGAGGAGCUACCGACAUUACUAACUUAAAGCAUUCGUUAAUCUUAAAAAGCAAUGGUUUGAAGACGAUCUAGCUGACUUCGUAAGGCAUUAUGAAGACGCUAUGAAGCUGGUGAAAAAGCACAAUACGGGAGAUAGGUACCGACGAUAAGGACGGUCUCUGCCGUGUCUCGUCGUACAAUCGCACACUCUCUGGCUAACAGCUAAAGUCAACAUGAAAUCAAACGUGAGCAUAUUUACUUUCCUAGUACACACAUUUCUGGUCUUAUAGGGAACAAUUCAUCAUUGCACGUUAUGGCGGUUUACAUUAAUGCACAAAAGAUUAUAGCAAUAUAAGCAAGGAGCAAUUGGUAUGUCCAAAUAUGUUCAUUUUCUAUCCAAGAUAUCUCAAUAUCAUGUCCAAACAACCAUGCUAUCGUUACGGUACUUUUUAUGUGCUCUUAUGAUAUUUACAUGGUACGUUCAGGAAAUUUAAAAUGGUGCCUGCGCAAAAAAACGGUAAUACCAUGGUGCAUUGCUUUAUCCAUGCUCUAAACAAACACAUUUACAAUAUUUCCCAAGAAAUAUGGUAAUAGCAUGGCACAAACAAAAUGGAGCAGUGCAUAGUACUCCAAAUAGCAUAAAGCAUACCAUGAUAUUACUGUAGUACUUUUUCAGAAACAUGGUAACCGUAGUAUAUUAUGUAUUAUAUAAUGUAUAUCAUAGCUCCAGAUGAUCAUCAUAUAUUUGCAUACUGUGGUAUUUGCCUCAUACUCCUAGUACAUCAGUGCAUACAAUGGUUUUACCACGGUACAUGUUCAAAAGCAUAGUAACAUAUUAACCAUUGAUAGUAUAGUAACCAUUGAUCACUUCAUUUGUAUACCACGGUCUUAUAGUCCCAAGUAUAUGAUGGUAUUACCAUGAAACUUAUCCAAAAGCAUGAUAAUACCAUGUCAUCUGUGCAGCCAGUUACCAUUAUAAUGAUGAUGAUUAUCAUUAAUGCUGCCUUCUAAAAACCAUUUCCGUCAUCAUCCUCACUCGCUAACGCGAGUCUUUACUUGGCUGUCAUGCGAGUGUGAAGAUUUGGCAAGCAAUUUAUCUCGAGCUUCAUGUUUAUUCAAUUCAAGUGUUUCCAUAUUAAUACAGUUAAUCUAAUAUCUAACAUGUCCACCUUAAUUACAACCUUUCUUCAUGUGAACCCUGAUCCGCUACAGUCUGAGCAAAGAGCAAUGAUUAAAGGAAUCCUGCACCUCAUUUGCACAUCGACUCUGUAGGGUGCACACGAGGCGGGCGCUACCGCCACAGCGUACUGAAUCAAAAUUACGUGACAGAAAGUGGGUGAAAAGGGAGAGAGUUUAAAUUCGCAGAGUAUCUUCAAGCGUCUGUAGACGCAUCAAUCCCCGUACUGCGAUCGGUCGCGGUAUUCACGGGGAUCUGAAGGCAUUUGGGUCACAAACUAGCAUCGCGGUCAGGUUUAUUUUUUGCUUGAUGAUUUUGCAGCUGAUCAAAGCGAACAGCUUGCCCGCACCAUCACGUACAUUCUGACUCCUUACGAAAUUGUUUUGAAGCAUUUACACCAUUUUAAGCCUCCUAAAUGUCAUAAUUCCCAUUAUUCAUAGUCUGAUGGCUUCAAAACAUCAGAACAUCUUAGAUUCACCACACCGACGGGGCGUGGAGGUUCUUUUUAUAAAAAUGUACUAAUAAAUCUGCUGCAAAAUCAAAUUAUCCACGUAAGUAUGCUUGCAUCACGCAGGCAGCGGCGGAAACCGAACUUGGCAAAAUCGACGUCGGCUCACAUUUGCAAAUCCUCUGUCAAUCUGUCAUUAGACAUGUUAUAAAAUAAUGAUAAGUGUACGCUUCUCGCUCGCUUUAGCGUGCUGCUCUCUGAUGUUGAUGCGCUGUAAUGGG